GUACAGCCCAGGUUCAGGGGGAGGGGAAAUAAACUCUAACUCUUGUUGGGAAGUGACAAAGUUUAGAAGAGCAUGUGGGACCACAAAUAUUGCUGAGGUCAGUUUUGGAAAAUGCAAAAUACCACAGUCCACCCUCUAGCCACAGCAGCAAAAUACACUCAUGCACUCCCUCAAGACCUACAACAUCAGGCUGAGGCUUGAGGUCCAGCAUCGACUGGGGAAGCUUGAAGGCUGGAGACUAGAAUCAUCUGAAGGUUCAUUCAUAUACCUGGUGGUUGAGUCUGGCUAUUAGUUGAAACCUUAGCUGGGGCUAUAAGCUGGAACAUCUUCACUGGCCCCUCCAUGUGGCCUGAGAUUCCUCACAAUUUCCAACAAGUCAUGAAGUCACAGAGUGUUAAUUCUUCAGCACUCAAUUCAUUGAAGCUGUUCAAUUCAAGAGAAUAGAAAUGGAUUUUACCU
rnacentral:lncRNA from 1 species